CGACACAGUUCGGUAUAGGGACUAUCGUCCCUCUCACGGCCAACUAGCAAAAUUGCAUUUAUGACUAAUUUUAGCCAAGUAUUUCCCAAUCGUUGCAUUUUGUGUGUGCGUGUCUCUAGUAUGGAUUUACAAAAAUUAAUGAAAAUGUUUUGCGUGGUAGGAGAGUAAACGUAAUUUUAUAAAUGCGUUGUUAAAACCGUGUGGUAGAAGUACCGUGUUAUAUGAGGGUUUCCGCCAUUUUCAAAUGGUGUUAGAGCCGAACCGUGUGGCAGGAAGCCGUGUAAUAGGAGGGAUAUCUGCACUCGUAGUAGAGAAAAAUAUUGCCAUAUUGCCAGAAACAGCGUUUUAUUUUCAACGAAUUUUCACGGCCACUCUCUACCACCAUUACUGCCUCAAAAUCCGUUGCCCCCGAUAUAUUGCAUAUUCAAAAAUAUCGGAAAAUCGAGUGGAGCAUAUGGCAGAUUUUUUAAAGGGGACGGUUUAGACUACAAAAUCUAAAUUUAAUUAAUUAAUUAUGUCGCUUGUUUAUAUAAUUUAAUACUUUUGUGGUAAAAUUUU
rnacentral:lncRNA from 1 species